UACGGAGGGUGCAAACGUUGCUCGGAAUCAUUGGGCGUAAAGCGCACGUAGGCGGCCUGUUAAGUUGGAUGUGAAAGCCCUCGGCUCAACCGAGGAAGUGCAUUCAAAACUGGCGGGCUUGAAUAUGGAAGAGGGUCGCGGAAUUCCCGGUGUAGAGGUGAAAUUCGUAGAUAUCGGGAGGAACACCAGUGGCGAAGGCGGCGACCUGGGCCAAUAUUGACGCUGAGGUGCGAAAGCGUGGGGAGCAAACAGG
rnacentral:rRNA from 1 species